rnacentral:rRNA from 1 species
UACAGAGGUCCCGAGCGUUGUUCGGAUUCACUGGGCGUAAAGGGUGCGUAGGCGGUUCUGAAAGUCUGAUGUGAAAUCUCCGGGCCCAACCCGGAAAUGGCAUUAGAAACUACAGGGCUAGAGGCUUGGAGGGGGAACUGGAAUUCUCGGUGUAGCAGUGAAAUGCGUAGAGAUCGAGAGGAACACCAGUGGCGAAGGCGAGUUCCUGGGCAAGUCCUGACGCUGAGGCACGAAAGCCAGGGGAGCAAACGGG